AAGGCCCCUUCGGGUACACGAGUGGCGAACGGGUGAGUAACACGUGGGUAAUCUGCCCUGCACUUCGGGAUAAGCCUGGGAAACUGGGUCUAAUACCGGAUAUGAGCUCCUGCCGCAUGGUGGGGGUUGGAAAGUUUUUCGGUGCAGGAUGAGUCCGCGGCCUAUCAGCUUGUUGGUGAGGUAACGGCUCACCAAGGCUACGACGGGUACCUGGUCUGAGAGGACGAUCAGGCACACUGGAACUGAGACACGGUCCAGACACCUACGGGUGGCAGCAGUCGAGAAUAAUUCACAAUGGGGGCAACCCUGAUGGUGCAACGCCGCGUGGAGGAUGACGGUCUUCGGAUUGUAAACUCCUGUCAUCUGGGAGUAAGACC
rnacentral:rRNA from 1 species